rnacentral:rRNA from 1 species
GGUGGGGAUUAGUGGCGAACGGGUGAGUAACACGUGGGCAAUCUGCCCUGCACUCUGGGACAAGCCCUGGAAACGGGGUCUAAUACCGGAUACUGAUCUACUUGGGCAUCCAAGUGGUUCGAAAGCUCCGGCGGUGCAGGAUGAGCCCGCGGCCUAUCAGCUUGUUGGUGAGGUAACGGCUCACCAAGGCGACGACGGGUAGCCGGCCUGAGAGGGCGACCGGCCACACUGGGACUGAGACACGGCCCAGACUCCUACGGGAGGCAGCAGUGGGGAAUAUUGCACAAUGGGCGAAAGCCUGAUGCAGCGACGCCGCGUGAGGGAUGACGGCCUUCGGGUUGUAAACCUCUUUCAGCAGGGAAGAAGCGAAAGUGACGGUACCUGCAGAAGAAGCGCCGGCUAACUACGUGCCAGCAGCCGCGGUAAUACGUAGGGCGCAAGCGUUGUCCGGAAUUAUUGGGCGUAAAGAGCUCGUAGGCGGCUUGUCACGUCGGUUGUGAAAGCCCGGGGCUUAACCCCGGGUCUGCAGUCGAUACGGGCAGGCUAGAGUUCGGUAGGGGAGAUCGGAAUUCCUGGUGUAGCGGUGAAAUGCGCAGAUAUCAGGAGGAACACCGGUGGCGAAGGCGGAUCUCUGGGCCGAUACUGACGCUGAGGAGCGAAAGCGUGGGGAGCGAACAGGAUUAGAUACCCUGGUAGUCCACGCCGUAAACGGUGGGCACUAG